GGUAUGUGGUGUCUGGGAUGGUGGUCUGAAAAAUGAGUGUGAAAGGGUGUUGGGGUUGCUGGUAAAUCUGAUGCCAAGACGGAAGGGAAAGUUUCUAGAGAGAGAGGGUCCUCCUUCUCUCUAUAAAUUUUCUCAAAUCAGCCAUCAUUUUGAGAGUCUCACCAUUACCUCCGUUUCCACCACCACCACCACCACCACCACCUUUUACCUCCAUCUCCACUUCAUCCACCCAGCCCUUUUCUUGACCAGAUCUGCCCUUUUCCUUCAUUUUCCUCCUCUUUCUCUUCCCUCUACUCCCUUCAAGAUCUCCAUCUACCCAUCACCUGCUGCUGCUAUCAUGAGCGUUACCAUGACUGGGUAUGACAAAUUUGGCUUUCAGAUCUGCUCCAUGCUCCACCACCUCUAAACAAACUUUCACCCGUUCGCGAAUUUUUGUUAUAUCAACAGAGGGUGUCCAGAUUACCUCGGUAAUCACUCCCUCUUCGGUUACUUGGUUUAUAUUUGGCGUUCUUGAACCCGGCGUGUGUCACAACUGGUGGAGAAGGUGGUAUGAUCUGAUGCUGCGACGGCGAAUUCACGUCAAGCAACAACUGGAAUAUUGCGGCAGGAAGACUUUGUAGCUGAUGAAGAUGUGGUGGCUGCUAGAAAUGUUAGGGUUUCUUUCUUUUAUCUUUGGGCUUCUGACUUGUAAUUUGGCCACACCCACUAUGGGUUUUAUUUUGUUUAUGCUGGGCCUAAGUGCCUCUAUUGCUGGGCCUAUGUGCCUGUUGUUGCUGGGGUCUAUGUGCCUCUUUUUGCUGGGGUUUUUGUAUCUCUUGUAUUUGGAUGUACCAUUUGGGCCUAUGUGCCUCUUGUUCCAUAAAUGAUCACUCAACUAUAACUCAUUCGACA